AAUGAACGUUGGCGGCGUGGAUUAGGCAUGCAAGUCGCGCGAGAAGCUUUUUUUUGCUUGCAUUAGAAAGCGGACAGCGGCGAAAGGGAGAGUAACGCGUGGAUAUCUACCCCUAGACCCGGGAUAGCUGCGGGAAACUGCAGGUAAUACCGGAUAAUGUCUCCGGACCAAAGGUGUGAUUCCGUCUAGGGACGAGUCCGCGUCCUACUAGCUUGUUGGUGGGGUAAUGGCCUACCAAGGCAAUGAUGGGUAGCGGGUGUGAGAGCAUGGCCCGUCUCACUGGGACUGAGACACUGCCCAGACACCUACGGGUGGCUGCAGUCGAGAAUCUUCCGCAAUGGACGAAAGUCUGACGGAGCGACGCCGCGUGCGGGACGAAGGCCUUCGGGUUGUAAACCGCUGUCAGUUGGGAGGAAAUGCUAUGGGGUUCUCUCCAUAGUUUGACCGAUCUUCAGAGGAAGUCCGGGCUAAGUUCGUGCCAGCCGCCGCCGUAACAC
rnacentral:rRNA from 1 species